AUUGAACGCUGGCGGCAUGCUUUACACAUGCAAGUCGAACGGUAACAGGUCUUCGGAUGCUGACGAGUGGCGAACGGGUGAGUAAUACAUCGGAACGUGCCUAGUAGUGGGGGAUAACUACUCGAAAGAGUAGCUAAUACCGCAUGAGAUCUACGGAUGAAAGCAGGGGACCUUCGGGCCUUGUGCUACUAGAGCGGCUGAUGGCAGAUUAGGUAGUUGGUGGGGUAAAGGCUUACCAAGCCUGCGAUCCGUAGCUGGUCUGAGAGGACGACCAGCCACACUGGGACUGAGACACGGCCCAGACUCCUACGGGAGGCAGCAGUGGGGAAUUUUGGACAAUGGGCGAAAGCCUGAUCCAGCAAUGCCGCGUGCAGGAUGAAGGCCCUCGGGUUGUAAACUGCUUUUGUACGGAACGAAAAGCCUGGGGCUAAUAUCCCCGGGUCAUGACGGUACCGUAAGAAUAAGCACCGGCUAACUACGUG
rnacentral:rRNA from 1 species